rnacentral:rRNA from 1 species
GCCCCUUCGACGAGUCGAGUUGUUUGGGAAUGCAGCUCAAAACGGGUGGUAAAUUUCAUCUAAAGCUAAAUACCGGCCAGAGACCGAUAGCGCACAAGUAGAGUGAUCGAAAGAUGAAAAGCACUUUGGAAAGAGAGUUAAACAGUACGUGAAAUUGUUGAAAGGGAAGCGCUUGCGACCAGACGUGCCCGCGGGGGAUCCGCCUCCUUCGGGGGGGUGUACUCCCCCGCGGUCAGGCCAGCAUCGGUUCGGGCGGUCGGAUAAAGGCCCCGGGAACGUGGCUCCUCUCGGGGAGUGUUAUAGCCCGGGGUGGAAUGCGGCCAGCCGGGACCGAGGACCGCGCUUCGGCUAGGAUGCUGGCGUAAUGGUCGUCAGCGACCCGUCUUGAAACACGGACCAAGGAGUCUAACAUCUAUGCGAGUGUUUGGGUGUCAAGCCCGGGCGCGGAAUGAAAGUGAACGGAGGUGGGAGCCCUCGGGCGCACCAUCGACCGAUCCUGAUGUCUUCGGAUGGAUUUGAGUAGGAGCAUAGCUGUUGGGACCCGAAAGAUGGUGAACUAUGCCUGAAUAGGGUGAAGCCAGAGGAAACUCUGGUGGAGGCUCGCAGCGGUUCUGACGUGCAAAUCGAUCGUCAAAUUUGGGUAUAGGGGCGAAAGACUAAUCGAACCAUCUAGUAGCUGUUUCAGCCGAAGUUUCCC